rnacentral:rRNA from 1 species
UACGUAGGGGGCUAGCGUUGUCCGGAUUUAUUGGGCGUAAAGAGCGUGUAGGCGGCCAGGUAGGUCUGCUGUGAAAACUCGAGGCUCAACCUCGAGACGUCGGCGGAAACCAUCUGGCUAGAGUCCGGAAGAGGAGAAUGGAAUUCCUGGUGUAGCGGUGAAAUGCGUAGAUAUCAGGAGGAAUCCCGGUGGUGUAGACGGCUCUCUGGACCGCCACUGACGCUGAGACACGAAAGCGUGGGUAGCAAACAGG